GAUGAAGAACGCAGCGAAAUGCGAUAAGUAAUGUGAAUUGCAGAAUUCAGUGAAUCAUCGAGUCUUUGAACGCACAUUGCGCCCCCUGGUAUUCCGGGGGGCAUGCCUGUCCGAGCGUCAUUGCCGCCCUCAAGCACGGCUUGUGUGUUGGGCCCCCGCCCCCCGGCUUCGGGGGGCGGGCCCGAAAGGCAGCGGCGGCACCGCGUCCGGUCCUCGAGCGUAUGGGGCUUCGUCACCCGCUCUGUAGGCCCGGCCGGCGCCCGCCGGCGACCCCAAUCAAUCUUUCCAGGUUGACCUCGAAUCAGGUAGGGAUACCCGCUGAACUUAAGCAUAUCAAUAAGCGGAGGA
rnacentral:misc_RNA from 1 species